rnacentral:rRNA from 1 species
UGGGGAAUAUUGGACAAUGGGCGAAAGCCUGAUCCAGCCAUGCCGCGUGUGUGAAGAAGGUCUUCGGAUUGUAAAGCACUUUAAGUUGGGAGGAAGGGCAGUAAGCGAAUACCUUGCUGUUUUGACGUUACCGACAGAAUAAGCACCGGCUAACUCUGUGCCAGCAGCCGCUGUAAUACAGAGGGUGCAAGCGUUAAUCGGAAUUACUGGGCGUAAAGCGCGCGUAGGUGGUUCGUUAAGUUGAAUGUGAAAGCCCCGGGCUCAACCUGGGAACUGCAUCCAAAACUGGCGAGCUAGAGUAGGGCAGAGGGUGGUGGAAUUUCCUGUGUAGCGGUGAAAUGCGUAGAUAUAGGAAGGAACACCAGUGGCGAAGGCGACCACCUGGGCUCAUACUGACACUGAGGUGCGAAAGCGUGGGGAGCAAACAGG